rnacentral:rRNA from 1 species
GAUGAACGCUAGCGGCAGGCCUAACACAUGCAAGUCGAGGGGUAUAAGGAGCUUGCUCCUUAGAGACCGGCGCACGGGUGCGUAACGCGUAUGCAAUCUACUUUGUACAGAGGGAUAGCUCAGAGAAAUUUGGAUUAAUACCUCAUAGUAUAUGAUUUUGGCAUCACUAUCAUAUUAAAGAUUUAUCGGUACAAGAUGAGCAUGCGUCCCAUUAGCUAGUUGGUAUGGUAACGGCAUACCAAGGCAAUGAUGGGUAGGGGUCCUGAGAGGGAGAUCCCCCACACUGGUACUGAGACACGGACCAGACUCCUACGGGAGGCAGCAGUGAGGAAUAUUGGUCAAUGGGCGCAAGCCUGAACCAGCCAUGCCGCGUGCAGGAUGACGGUCCUACGGAUUGUAAACUGCUUUUAUACAGGAAGAAACACUCCUUCGUGAAGGAGCUUGACGGUACUGUAAGAAUAAGGAUCGGCUAACUCCGUGCCAGCAGCCGCGGUAAUACGGAGGAUCCAAGCGUUAUCCGGAAUCAUAGGGUUUAAAGGGUCCGUAGGCGGUUUUAUAAGUCAGUGGUGAAAUCCGGCAGCUCAACUGUCGAACUGCCAUUGAUACUGUAGAAC